rnacentral:tRNA from 1 species
GCUGUAGCUCAGUGGUUGAGCAUCUGCUUUGCAUGCAAAAAGUCCCAGGUUCAAUCCCUGGCUUCUCCA